CGCAGCGACUCGAGGCGAGGCGCAUCCCUCAUGAGGAUGGCGAAGGCAGGUUCGACUCCUCCCGCUGCGA
rnacentral:tRNA from 1 species